rnacentral:rRNA from 1 species
AGGCGGGGAUGACGGCAAGUCCUCAUGGCCCUUACGCGUAGGGCUACACACGUGCUACAAUGGCAGUGACAAUGGGUUAAUCCCAAAAAACUGUCUCAGUUCGGAUUGGGGUCUGCAACUCGACCUCAUGAAGUCGGAGUCGCUAGUAAUCGCAGAUCAGCAACGCUGCGGUGAAUACGUUCCCGGGGCUUGUACACACCGCCCGUCAAGUCAUGAAAGUCGGUAACACUCGAAGCCGGUGGCCUAACACUUUUUGUGGGGGAGCUGUCUAAGGUGGGACUGGUGAUUAGGACUAAGUCGGAACAAGGUAGCCGU